rnacentral:rRNA from 1 species
CAGCAGCCGCGGGAAUGCGAAGGGUGCAAGCGUUAAUCGGAAUUACUGGGCGUAAAGCGUGCGUAGGCGGUGAGUUAAGUCUGCUGUGAAAUCCCCGGGCUCAACCUGGGAAUGGCAGUGGAUACUGGCUCGCUAGAGUGUGUCAGAGGAUGGUGGUAUUCCGAGUGUAGAGGUGAAAUUCGUAGAUAUUCGGAAGAACACCAGUGGCGAAGGCGGCUUACUGGCUCAUACUGGACGCUGAGGUGCGAAAGCGUGGGGAGCAAACAGGAUUAGAUACCCCAGUAGUCCCUGUCUCUUAUAC